rnacentral:rRNA from 1 species
AUUGAACGCUGGCGGCAUGCCUUACACAUGCAAGUCGAACGGCAGCACGGGAGCAAUCCUGGUGGCGAGUGGCGAACGGGUGAGUAAUGUAUCGGAACGGUACCUUUCAGUGGGGGAUAACGUAGCGAAAGUUACGCUAAUACCGCAUAGUUCUGUGAGCAGGAAAGCAGGGGAUCGCAAGACCUUGCGCUGAUUGAGCGGCCGAUAUCAGAUUAGCUAGUUGGUGAGGUAAUGGCUCACCAAGGCGACGAUCUGUAGCGGGUCUGAGAGGAUGAUCCGCCACACUGGAACUGAGACACGGUCCAGACGUCCUACCGGGAGGGCAGCAGUGGGGAAUUUUGGACAAUGGGCGCAAGCCUGAUCCAGCCAUGCCGCGUGAGUGAAGAAGGCCU